UGUGUUGUUCUGCCUGUUUUUUUGAGCUACCUCAAUGGAGGCCCCGUGUGGAAAUGUGUAGCUUAAAAAACAGCACACUCUUCGUAUUUCACAGCCCAAACCACAGUUUCAACAGAGGUUCAUCUUCCUGCUGGAAACCUGCAGCCAUCUUCAAUACUCAGAGGACAGCUGAAUAGAGACAGGAAAUGUUGGGAGUAGUGAGAGUGGGACGACGACUAUAGCAUCUGAACAUGGGUCGCACAAAAUAUCCACUAGACUAUUCGACACCUGUGUACCAGCUUUGUGAUGCAGAUUGGAGAAACGAGAACAGAGGGUGCAGAUGUGCCCAACUCGGCAUGCCGUGUUUGAGCCGUUAUGGAGGUCAGUGCCGUAGAAGAAGAAGAAGACGGUCUUCUUUGUCUUUUGUGAGGCGGCUGCAGAAAUGUCAC